GUGGGCUUAGGAAAUGGAAUAAUCAAAGCCUGCAGAAGACUUAUAGAUGGGACCACAUCCUUGUCCAUAUACCUGAAGGCAGACAGGAACAUCAGUUGGCUCCUCUCUAGAUUUCCACCAUCUGCUUGUGAUCCUCCAUGGCUGUCAGUGCCCCCUAAGCCUCUUAUUAUAAAUUACCACGGUCUCACUUUCCAGGAAACUCCACUAUAUUCCUGCUGUUUUCACACACAAUUAUUCACAGAUAGCAGAAAGAGGCGGCUCAGGAGGAAGACCCAUGGGAUAAGAGACAUUUUAGGACACUGA
rnacentral:lncRNA from 1 species